AUUCCGUGAUGAAGGCACUUUUGUAAUAACUCUUUGUAUCUUUCCCAUGCUUCAUACAAUGUUCAUCAUCCAUUCUUUAGAAAGCAAUGAUCUCGUUCCUCAACUU
rfam:Gossypium raimondii Chr02_contig_652, whole genome shotgun sequence.